UACGAAGGGGGCUAGCGUUGCUCGGAAUUACUGGGCGUAAAGGGCGCGUAGGCGGAUUGGCCAGUCGGACGUGAAAUUCCGGGGCUCAACCUUGGGGCUGCGUUCGAGACGUUUGGUCUAGAGUGUGGAAGAGGGUCGUGGAAUUCCCAGUGUAGAGGUGAAAUUCGUAGAGAUCAGGAAGAACACCGGUGGCGAAAGCGCUCUGCUGGACCUAAACUGACACUGAGGGACGAAAGCUAGGGGAGCGAAUGGG
rnacentral:rRNA from 1 species